AUCACCCCCUAGAUUCGGGAACAACUAGCAAAUAUGAAACACAACCGUUGUGCAAAAUUUGGCUUCAUUAUAAUGGCUAAUUAUAAUGAACAAGCAAAAAAACGAACGAACAAAAGAAACAAAGUUUCUGUGACAUCUUGGAAACAUCAGGAAGAGACAUCAGGAAGAAGUGGGACAAUGAGAGAAUUGAAGAUAUGUCCUAUUCCUUCAGUACAUCCCACCCUACAAGAAUAACUGUCAUCAUUUUUAAAAUUAUUAUUUCUCAAAUGGUGUUUACUGAGAAUCUACCUGGACAAUCAUCCCUUAUAGAAAACCACUAGGUACAGUAUUUAUCUGCAAUCUCAUAAGAUAGAGAUGCUGACCAUUCAUUUGUUCAAUAAAGGAUUUACUACAAAGAUUAAACAGUGUUGGACCAAAA